rnacentral:tRNA from 1 species
GCCCCGUUAGCUCAAUUGGAUAGAGUCCCGGUCUUCGGAACCGGUGGUACAGGUUCAAGUCCUGUACGGGGCA